UGAUGUUGUAAGCAGGUAAGUUAUGAAAGCAACAACAAACCAUCGCGCUCUGCUACACCACGAGCCCUGAUCGGCUACGGCAGCGGUUUCAGCACCUGGAGUCGCUGAAGCUGUAGGGGAGGCCGAGCGCGGCGAUGUUUAAUCUGAUUCCGGAGAGCUAGGGAGGGUUUGUAACGCCGUGGGUGACGGAGAUCGCCAACUCCUUCCACCACUUGAAGUGUGUGCACUUUCGGCGGAUGAUUGUUAGGGAUUUGGACCUUCAGCUCCUGGCUCAGUCACGUGGGCACGUGCUCCAGGUGCUUAAGCUCGACAAGUGCUCAUGGUUCACCACCAAUGGGCUUUGGCACAUCGGCCGCUCCUGCAGGAAUUUGAGGACCUUGUUUUUGGAAGAGAGCUUUAUAGUUGAGUAUGAUGGCAACUGGCUACACGAGCUUGCUGAGAACAACACUUCUGGAAACUCUGAAUUUUUAUAUGACGGAUCUUAUCAAAGUCCAAUUCGAAGACCUUGAACUCAUAGCCAAAAACUGCUGCCCCUUAACCUCUGUGAAAAUUAGUGAUCUCGAAAUCUUGGAACUAGUUGGCUUCUUCCGUCAUGCAGCUAUCUUGGAAGAAUUUUCAGGGGGUUUCUUCAAUGAGCAAUCCGAGAGUUACUCUGUUGUAACUUUACCCCAAAAACUUUGCCGUCUGGGUCUAACGUACAUGGGAAAGGAUGACAUACCAAUAGUGUUCCCAUUUGCAACCCUUCUCAAGAAGCUCGAUCUCCUUCAUGCUUAUCUGGACACCGAGGACCAUUGCACAUUAAUCCAAGGGUGCCCCAACCUGGAAAUUCUGGAGGUAGGAUUUCAAAACCAUUUUGUCUACUUUUUGAUUUGCCCUUUCGUGUGCAUGCAUAUGCGCAUGUGCGAGUGUGUCUAUGUACAAUAAGUUUUCUGUGUGAAUUUUUAGUAUAGGUGGGAAACGGUGAGGAAUUUAUGCAUUUGCUUGUAAAUUUUCUAUUCGUUGGAAGAUUUAUUUCACAUCCAUACAUCA